rnacentral:ncRNA from 2 species
UCCGAGGGCCGUGACUGGCGCACGGGUGGAGCACCACCGGGGAGCGGCCGCCGCACCGUUGCCGCGCGCCUGGGCGAACUCG